UAGCGGCAGGCCUAAUACAUGCAAGUCGAACGGUAGAUUGCUUUCGGGUAAUUGAGAGUGGCGCACGGGUGCGUAACGCGUAUGCAACCUACCCUAUACAGGGGGAUAGCCCGGAGAAAUCUGGAUUAAUACCCCAUGGCACUAUGACGAGGCAUUUUGUUAUAGUUAAAGAUUCAUCGGUAUAGGAUGGGCAUGCGUCUGAUUAGCUAGUUGGCGGUGUAACGGACCACCAAGGCGACGAUCAGUAGGGGUUCUGAGAGGAAGGUCCCCCACACUGGCACUGAGAUACGGGCCAGACUCCUACGGGAGGCAGCAGUAGGGAAUAUUGGGCAAUGGACGAGAGUCUGACCCAGCCAUGCCGCGUGCAGGAAGACGGCGUUCUGCGUUGUAAACUGCUUUUAUCUGGGAAGAAAAGGCCCAUGCGUGGGACAUUGCCGGUACCAGAUGAAUAAGCACCGGCUAACUCCGUGCCAGCAGCCGCGGUAAUACGG
rnacentral:rRNA from 1 species